GAAAAACGCCUAAUUCCGACAGACAAGUUUCACACGUAGAACCCAGUCUUUUGGAACUGCCGUGUCGAUUUUGUUUUUUACUCAAACCCCCAAAUUACGCGCGACGCCCAGCGUAUAGUGCGCACUUUGAUUUAGCCGGAUGAGCCUGUAAAUGCCUGUUUCUAUUUACUCUGGAACUAAUUAACCCACCAGGGGAAAUAUUGGCGAUAUUUAAGCUACAACAAGUAGAAAUCAAUAGAUUUUAAACAAAAUGGCACAUAUUUGUUUUACAAAUUAGUCUACACUAUAAAAUUCAACCAUUUUUUACGCCAUUUAGCCUCGUUUAGCCGGAUUUAAAUACUUUUUUAUCAAAACUAUAAACAUUUACAUUUUGCCUAUUUAACAUACCUCUAAAGACUUUUUACCUUUAGUGCCAUGUUUAUAUUGGGGGGGGGGGUCUGUUUUACGUCAAGGAAACCUCAGACGCAGGUGGAGCUGCUUAACAUAUAGCUGCAAAUAAGCCUAUAACACACAUUUUCAAAUGAGCACGUUUGCAUUAAUUUCACGGUGAAUUUGAUAUUUUUUUCUGUGCAACUUUUGCUUUGAUGUCGCCUAAUGAGCAGUUCCUCUCAAGCCCCCCUCCGCUCUGAUACUAACAUAUAUAAUAACCGCUCCUUUUUCUUGGGGCUACUGACCAUAUGAUUAAAGAUCCUCAGACAAUUCAAAAUAAAGUGCGCGUGACACAUCAAAUAACAAUAUGUCUGAGGUACAAUAGGUUAUUUUGCAGAUAGAAGGGUGGAUACCGAGAUAAACUGACAGUGUCUUUUAUCUCUGUUGUAAUAUGAGGCCUUGUAGGGUCCUCAAUAUAUGUAAAUUAUACAGUUUGCCUCUGAGGGCUGCGAUGUUCGAUUCGCAAAUAGGGAUAAAAUGCAAUUUCCGCUUAGAAUAAUGCAAUAGACAUUCAAAUCAUGUUUUGCACCACUUUCAGCACAUUUUUUUUGUCGUAACAGCAUUCAGAGAUUUCACGAAAAAGGCGAUGAAAAAUAAUUAUGGUUGCAAUCAAGUUACUACGAAAACCUAUUUGAUUAGCGGCCACACUUUACUCAAAUUGCAGCUAUAAAAUUAAGAACAAUUCGCCUGUAAUGAUUAUGGACUAGAUUUAUUUUGGGAGGGUGGAAUAAAAGUGGAUAUAGCAUAAAUUAUCCCCUAAUUACACGCCAGUGUCGCCUCAAUUAUCCUCUUAUCAAAAAUGGUUGUCUAAAUGCAGCGUUUAGUUUCAAUUUUCUCCAUUUCUGUAACAAGAACUUGGUACCUUGCUAUUAUCGUCAGCUACGGUUGUUAUUUACUUUGUGGGAUUUAAAAGUGCACAACCCAGCCGGAUAAUCAUUUUACAGCAGCGGACCAAGAGAGGAGCACACAGGGAGCAACGAGAGCCGAGCGAGACAUCCACAUGGAUUUGCUUCCUUCUUCCAAGGCUCUUUUAGAUAAAUUAAUUUUUUUUUUAAAUCGGGGUCCUCGUGUGUCUUCAGGGGGCUGCAGGCCCCUUCUCUCCUCUCCACCUCCCUCUUCACACCCACUCUCCCCACUCCCCUCAACCUCAGUCCCUGCUCCCUAACCCCCCCCCCCCCCCCCCCCCAUAUUGUAGGUACGCCUCCAUCUCCUCUUGGCAGUUCCAUCUCCUCCUCGCCUCCCCCUUUCUUUCCUCCCUCUCCCUGGCUGGUUUCCACAGCUGUGGUGAGUGAGGGGCAGAUGACCGGAGAAUUGGCCCCUGGGAGAGCGCUGAGCCAUCCUGGUGCUAUUAGGCUCGUGGCUAAUAAUAGGUGUUUCAGACCGGGGGAAGAUCAAUCAGGGGGAAUCAUGGGGAAUGUUCGGAGCAGCGCUUUUUACACAUCGGCCCAGAUGGAUGAAAUUACACUUGUCAGUUUUUAGUUGCAUUACUCCCAAAUUGGUUGUCUACUCUUUUUUUCCCUGCCUCCCUCCCUUGCACGCUCUCUCCUCUCUCCUUUUCUCUCUCUCUGCCCUCAUUCAUGUGUCAGUGGCUUGCUAAAUGGAUUCAGUGGUGAAAUCCCUGUCAUUUUUGUCUUUUCUCUGUUUAGCCCUCAGCCACCAACUUUGCUGCCUGCAUAUGUGCACUUAGGAGAAAUCAGUGUAUGAUCUUGUCUUAUGCCUCGGGCAAUUUCCAUGUUAAAGACGAGUGUAAGUGAUGUUUCCUGUGUGCGCUGCAUGAAUAAUGAACGUGUGAUUGAACCGAACAUAGGCAUUCAGAGGCGAGUUGAAACACUGAUGUGACUUUUCAGGCUGACCGUCCAAACGUCUUGAUGGUGGGUUUUGUUUUUUGCAACACUGUGAAUUCUAUUCCAUGGAACCGCUGGUCAUUAAACAAGACACAGGACGUGUCUGGGAAGUGCUGCUGGACAUUUACUGCUCCUUUGAAUGAAGCCUUUCACCUUGUUUAGCAUCCAUGUAUAUAAUUUAAAUGCAAUGUUAACAUACAGAUGAUGUAUGAACUGAUAACUGUGUAACGUGCAAUAAUUAUAUUUCAAGUGCAUGAGUCUAAUUGUAUUGUAAUUAAAUCUGUCAGGUGCAAAUGAAACCCUUACACUGUGUCUUGCUGUUUCAACACUGAAUAAAAUCCACCUAAAAACACUC